GUUGGCUCUUCGUCGGUCCUGGACCCAUUUGGGAGGGUGUGGGGCCACCCAGCUCUCAUAUAGAGCAUUUUUCCCUCUGAAGAAGCUUUUACCAAGAGGAACUUUAUGGAACAACUAUAAUGGUCUGCUUUGAGCACCUUGCCUCUGAGUCCAUCCAACCCAGGUUCAUCUGUUCAGCUUUGCCUCACAUGUCUAAAUCGAAGCAGAAAACACAGCCCCAACCACUCCAGCAUGUCUGCUUUUUGAUAAAUGGACCCCUG